CCUCGCAAUCCAUGGGACUUGAGCACCAUUUCCCAGAAAUGGACGUGCAAUGGCGGUAGGGGGACUCAGGGGGAACACCCCAAUUUCUUCCCCUGCAGCGCCGAAGGGAAAGGGAAGGGGGGGGGGGUGUAGUGAAUCCAAAUCCAUCGCCCCCCCCUGCUUCUUAAGACCCCCCUUCCUCUUUCCACCCUCCCUCCCUCGUUGUCCGCCCCUCGGCGGCGCUCACCCAAUCCCGUUGCGGCGUCUCCGUUUGACAGGCAGCGAGCUCCCCGCCCCUUUGUGACGUCUCUGCUUGGCUUUGCAUGAGUUGCGCCGCCGCCAGAGCCUGCCGCUCAGUUGUCUGGAAAGGCGAAGCGAGUCCGGAGCUGGCUGCAGGCGAGAAAUCCCCCCACACCCCCAAAAAAGACCCUUUCCGUCACCAACAGCUCCCUAAGAAUAAAAGAUGGAGCUGCCGGCGGUGGGCGAGCACGUCUUCGCCGUGGAAAGCAUCGAGAAGAAGCGAAUCCGGAAGGGGCGAGUGGAGUACCUUGUCAAAUGGAGAGGAUGGUCGUCCAAGUAAGUCCCGGGAAGGGAAGGCAAGGGGUCUUUUCUCGCGGGCUGCAGAGUCUGCUCCUGUGUCUCCCUCCCUCUCCCUCCCCCCAAUUUCCCUCCAGCGCUAUCAGAAUCAGGUGAUUUGUUUUUUGCUGCAUGAAAAUGGACCGACACACCGAAGGCCGCCAAAGCAGGCAGUGGCCAGGCGGCGAGGCUCUGAUGGUGCAGAAAAUGGCUCCUUUCCCUUGGAAAGCAGGGAAGCAGGGCUCCAUAUUGCAGAACCCAGCAGCAGCAGCUCAGGCAUUGACCGGGCAGGGCGGGGGGUAGGAGGGGGCUGCCAAGGGGAGGGCGCAGUCUUCUCAUUAUUUAGUAAUAAUAAUAAUAAUAAUAAUAAUAAUAUCCAUGACGAUGAUUAAAUCCCCCGCCCGCGUUCAAUCCCCGAAUCCGGUCCGAGCUGCAAGGAAGGAGGGAGGGAGGGAGGGAAGCCCUGUCACUAGGCAGCAGCGGCUUGGCUGCACAUUUCACUUGACCGACGGGAGCGCGCGGCGGGAGGAAGAAGAAGAGGAAGAAGGGAAGAGCAGGAGGAAGAGGAAGAAGCCUGGGUGACAGAACCUCUGGGGGGGGGGGGGGGAUCGGAGACAAGAGGCUUUUUUUGGCUGGCCUCUGGAAUCAUAGACUCCUAGAGUUGGAAGAGACCUCGUGGGCCAUCCUGUCCAACCCCUUGCCAAGAAGCAGGAAAAUCACAUUCAAAGCACCCCCGACAGAUGGCCAUCCAGCCUCUGCUUAAAGGCCUCCAAAGAAGGAGCCUCCACCACACUCUGGGGCAGAGAGUUCCACUGCUGAACAGCUCUCUCACACAGUGUGGAAGUUCUUCCUAAUGUUCAGGUGGAAUCUCAUUUCCUGUAGUUUGAAAACAUUUUUCUGCGUACUAGUCUCCAGGGCAGCAGAAAACAAGCUUGCUCCCUCCUCCCUAUGACUUUCUCUCACAUAUUUAUACAUGGCUGGCUAUCAUGUCGCCGCUCAGCAUUCUCUUCUGCAGAUUAAACAUGCCCAGCUCAUUAAGCCGCUCCUCAUAGGGCUUGUUCUCCAGGCCCUUGAUCAUUUUAGUCGCCCUCCUCUGGACACAUUGCAGCAUAGAGUCAACAUCUCCCUUCAAUUGCAGUGCCCAGAAUUGGACAUAGUGUGAUUCCAGGUGUGGUCUGACCAAGGCAGAAUAGAGGGUUAGUAUGACUUCCCUGGAUCUAGACCAGGCAUGGGCAAACUUGGGCCCUCCGGAUGUUUUGGACUUCAACUCCCACAAUUCCUAACAGUAGGCUGGA
rnacentral:lncRNA from 1 species